UACUGUCAUUAGUAUGUAUGGAAAAUCUGUUCUUAUCAGUCCAUAUGAUACUUUUUAGGUUUUUCAACAACAGGAAACAAUCAGUUACUACCUACAUUGGAAAUACAGGGAGAGCUGGAGAUAAAAGUGGGUGGCCAAGAUUUUAAGUGGCACUUAAUCAAUGAGAGUCCUUGAAGCAACCAUCCUUCAUCUGAUUAAAAUCUGACACAAAAACAGGACAAUGGUUCACAUAAAGCAGCGGUCAUGAUGUCGUCUGAUUGACUCCAGUGAAGUAACAGCAAUAAUGUUGUCCAAAGUAAUGCUGGCCUUCAUCUUGAUCCUUCUCAUCCUCCUGACUGUCGCUGGUAAUGUACUUGUGUGCCUGGCUGUCUGUGCCUCUCGACGUCUCCGCUGCCUCACUAACUGUUUCAUUUUGUCGCUGGCUGUGACAGACCUGCUGCUCGGCCUCUUAGUCCUCCCUUUCUCUGCUCUCCUACAGCUAAAUGAAGAGUGGCCACUUGGCGCAGUCUUCUGCAACUUCUAUAUCUCCAUGGAUGUUAUGUUGUGCACUGCCUCCAUCCUCACCCUCCUGGCAAUCAGUGUCGAUCGCUACCUGGCAGUGACCAUGCCUCUGAGAUAUGCAUCACUGGUGUUACCGUGGAGAGUUGCUGUAGCCAUGGCGAGUGUCUGGACUGUGUCUCUGGCCGUGUCUUUCUUGCCCAUCCAAAUGGGAUGGAACACCGUUAACGGGACAGUGCAGAACCACGGGCCUUGGGCUUCGGAGGGGAAAUGUCGUUUUGAACUGAACAGACCGUAUGUGCUUACUGACUCUCUCCUCACCUUCUACCUGCCUCUGGUGGCUAUGUGCUGGACCUACCUCAGAAUACUUCGCAUUGCACGUGCACAGGCCAAGCGCAUUGUCAGUGAACGGCCCACUUGCAUCACCAGCUACAACUGCAGGAGCAAUUCUUCCACUACCACCACUGUGAUUUCCAGCAUUACAGUUGUGGCACUGCGGGAGCACAAAGCCACAGUGACACUGGCAGCAGUGAUUGGGGCUUUUGUGGUGUGCUGGUUACCUUAUUUCAUCCUAUUCACAGUGCUGGGCUUACAGGAGCAUCCAGACCCUGGCACAGUGCCAGAAUAUUCCAUUGUGCUGUGGCUAGGCUAUGCCAACUCAGCCCUAAAUCCAAUCCUCUACGGAGCCCUCAACAGGGACUUCAGGUCAGCCUAUACCCAUCUACUGAGAUGCCAAUGCCCUAUGUACAGCAGGUGGAGGAGCCAGCAGAUAUCCCCUUCUGUAUCAGCAGGUAAAGCUGUUCAAACCAGAGACCAGCUUACAGAGGUAACGCUGCUGUGCGGCCACACCCCUGCCACCUGCAGAGCAGGUCUAACACAUCAAAACGUCAUGCUUCAAGAAAUGAACAGCAGGACAGCCACAACAUCUAUCCAAUUUGCAAAUGGCACUGCUACCACAGAUGUCAGUGGUGAUGGAAGUGAACCCAGGUUGUGCUGAGCUUGUGCUUGUGAGGUGGAUGGUGUGCUUACAAAACAACCCAGAACAGGAAUCCAUCAGGUCGAUGACAAAAGGGCAACAAACAGACAAAAGAUAGACAAAGAUGUACAACCCCUUCUAUUUGGAAGCAUCCAGUAUCACAGUAGAAACAUCCAUAGUACAUUAUCUAUUUCCUCCACAGGACCCGUCCUACCUCCUGAAACUUUUAUGUGUAGCCCCGUAUGUAUGUAUACAUUACCAACGGUGAGUGAAUAGACGAGCAAACCUUUGCUCCUUUUCAUUUGUGUCUUUAUGAAUACAAAGAUAAGGAUCUCUGCAACUCUACGCCUCAAUCGGUAAGAAUCAACUGCACAUGCACAGCCAGCUCAGUCCACCCAGGACCAAACAAAUGAGGCUGCUUCU